GUAGGUGGCAAGCGUUGUCCGGAAUUAUUGGGCGUAAAGCGCGCGCAGGCGGUUCUUUAAGUCUGAUGUGAAAGCCCACGGCUCAACCGUGGAGGGUCAUUGGAAACUGGAGAACUUGAGUACAGAAGAGGAAAGCGGAAUUCCACGUGUAGCGGUGAAAUGCGUAGAGAUGUGGAGGAACACCAGUGGCGAAGGCGGCUUUCUGGUCUGUAACUGACGCUGAGGCGCGAAAGCGUGGAGCAAACAGGAUUAGAUACCCUGGUAGUCCACGCCGUAAACGAUGAGUGCUAAGUGUUAGGGGGUUUUCCGCCCCCCUUAGUGCUGCAGCUAACGCAUUAAGCACUCCGCCUGGGAGUACGGCCGCAAGGCUG
rnacentral:rRNA from 1 species